rnacentral:rRNA from 1 species
UACCAGCACCCCGAGUGGUCGGGACGAUUAUUGGGCCUAAAGCAUCCGUAGCCGGUCCUACAAGUCUUCCGUUAAAUCCACCUGCUCAACAGAUGGGCUGCGGAAGAUACUAUAGGGCUAGGAGGCGGGAGAGGCAAGCGGUACUCAGUGGGUAGGGGUAAAAUCCUCUGAUCCAUUGAAGACCACCAGUGGCGAAGGCGGCUUGCCAGAACGCGCUCGACCAGUGAGGGAUGAAAGCUGGGGGAGCAAACCGG